GUCACCCAGUCACUGUCCAAACCACUGCCUCUGCAGCCACCAUCCCAUUCCCCGAUUCUCCUCUCCAUUUCUGCAGCUGCAAUCCGAGAGGUAUUUGUUCCCUCCAGGGAGGGGCCCCAGGACCUGGCGCCAGCAUCCUUCCCUGGCCACCUGCCUUUGCACACUGCAGGUAGUCGGAAUUUUCUGGGUCCCAGGGAGAAAUAAGCCUGUCUGAAGAACCUAGACAGUGUAUCUUAUCACCUGGCACAUACCUAGAGAGAACAAGCCCAAGACAGCAUCCGAUUCCUUGCAUUUCUUAAUCAUGAGUUUGGUCAGCAUGCAUCUGGUAGUUUUGCAGAAGCCUGAAUCAGAUGCGUCAGGGGCAUCAUCGGGAGAACUGGUUUGUCAAAUGGAUGCAGGCCUGGGAGAAAACACCGACUAAAAAGACAUCAGUUUUGCCCUGUUCACAUCGCUUUCUGGAAAUGCUGUAAUAUGCUAUUUUGGAUGGCUGACUUUAAAUCCUAUGUAAUAUGCAGGAAACAUUUGAUGAUACUGGGGUAUAUUUGGGACAAAGAAAGUGGCACAAAAGGCAUUUUCUCUGUUCUUAAGG